GAGGCUGUGAAGGGUGGAUGUGGAGAGCCAGAGGUGCAGGAGCAGCCAGUGUCACCAGUCUGGGAUCCCCUGGAAGCUCUGAGGGGAGAUGCUGGAAGGGCCAUCCUGCUGCUGUCCAGACAGUAAUGGAACAGAUUCCAGGUCCGGAGCGUGCGGACACAGCGGUGCCGAGCGGCCUCCUCCACCUGCCUGCUUCUGAAACAGAUUUUGGGCCAGGAGGAGGUGGCAGAGCUCCACAGCCAUGGGGCAGAGGAUUCCCUGGAUAGCUUUGUUUUCU